AGAGUUUGAUCAUGGCUCAGGAUGAACGCUGGCGACGUGGAUAAGGCAUGCAAGUCGAACGGUUGUAGCAAUACAACAGUGGCGAACGGGUUAGUAACACGUAGAUAUCAACCCUUUACUCGGGCAUAACCUGGAGAAAUCUAGGCUAAUUCCCGAUAGUCCGGAAACGGUAAAGAUUUUUCGGUAAAGGAUGAGUCUGCGUCCUAUCAGCUAGUUGGUGAGGUAAUGGCCCACCAAGGCAAUGACGGGUAGGCGGAGUGAGAGCUUGACCGCCAACAAUGGCACUGGAACAUGGGCCAUACUCCUACGGGAGGCAGCAGUCGAGAAUAUUUGACAAUGGGCGAAAGCCUGAUCAAGCGACGUCGCGUGUGGGAUUAAGAUCUUCGGAUUGUAAACCACUUUUCUAGGGGAAGAACUUUGACUGUACCCUAGGAAUAAGGGGUGACUAAACUCGUGCCAGCAGUAGCGGUAAUACGAGUGCCCCAAGCGUUAUCCGGAUUUAUUGGGCGUAAAGGGUCUGUAGGUGGUUUGUUAAGUUUCUCGUUAAAGCUCCAGGGCUUAACCUUGGAAAAGCGGGAAAAACUGGCAAACUAGAGGAUGUUAGAGGCUGAUGGAACACUUGGUGAAGGGGUGGAAUCCGUUGAUAUCAAGUGGAACACCGAAAGCGAAGGCAAUCAGCUGGGACAGUCCUGACACUGACAGACGAAAGCGUGGGGAGAGAAAAGGAUUAGAUACCCUUGUAUUCCACGCCUUAAACGAUGAAUACUGGCUAUUGCAAGUGUCGACCCUUGCAGUGCGAAGCUAACGCGUUAAGUAUUCCGCCUGGGAAGUACGGCCGCAAGGCUAAACUCAAUGAAUUGACGG
rnacentral:rRNA from 1 species